rnacentral:rRNA from 1 species
GCUCAGGAUGAACGCUGGCGGCGUGCUUAACACAUGCAAGUCGAACGGGGAACAUUUUAUUGAAGCUUCGGCAGAUUUAGCUUGUUCCUAGUGGCGGACGGGUGAGUAACGCGUGGGUAACCUGCCUCGCACUGGGGGAUAACAGUCAGAAAUGGCUGUUAAUACCGCAUAAGCGCACAGCAUCGCAUGAUGCAGUGUGAAAAACUCCGGUGGUGUGAGAUGGACCCGCGUUGGAUUAGCUAGUUGGCAGGGUAGCGGCCUACCAAGGCGACGAUCCAUAGCCGGCCUGAGAGGGUGAACGGCCACAUUGGGACUGAGACACGGCCCAGACUCCUACGGGAGGCAGCAGUA